rnacentral:rRNA from 1 species
CCAAGGUUGACCUCAGAUCAGGUAGGAAUACCCGCUGAACUUAAGCAUAUCAAUAAGCGGAGGA